AACACGAACUCAUUGCAGAUAUCGUUCAGGUUGGAGUUUCUAUUUUCUUGUAUCAUUUUGGAGUUCCCCACAGAGAUCGUUGGACAGAGUUUCAGUGUCUCCUACUAAUUUGGCCCAGCAGCAUUCCAGUGGCUGAGGAGACACCUUGUCCAGCCAGCUUAGUGUUUUCUGAAGAUGCAGGUUGAACCCAUCAGCCAACAUUAAGUUUCUCCCUUAAGUGGGUUUGGAAAAGGAGACACAAGAAGAUACUGAGUUUGUAUCUAGUCAGAAUUAUGGCACCAGUGACCUCUACCCUCCAGUGAAGGCCUUGGUCAUGCCAUGUCACGUGGCAAAAGAGAUUUUGCAGGUGAAAUUAAAGUGAUGAGAAUAAAAUAGUGAGGUUGCUGGGAGGAUCCAAUCUAAUCAGAAGGCCUCCUCACUCCACUGUGUGGGGAUCAGAAAAUGCUCACUGUAGAAACGUCCGUUUGAAGCUAGACCCAGAUCAACAUCCAAUUUAAUACAGGGUUGAAAAAAGGCCAUCUACAUCCCAUGUACAGUCUGUGAUUUUGCUGACAUCAAUCACGUUUCAUACCAGAUUGUACUUUUCUGGUAACACCAGGGCUUGUGGUGCUUCUGAAGGAGAAAUGGAACUGUCCAUUCAUUCUGUGGUUGAAUCUUCUGUCCCAGUGCUAACAGCAAAAUCUGUGCAUCUGCAGAAUUCGGGGUUCUGCAAAUCUCAAGGUCUUGUGAUGCCUCUCAUUGCACAGGAACAUGCCUUGUUUGUUAAAGAUCACAAGGAGAAGACAAGGAGGUUUGGGGCUCAAGUCACUGUGAGAAUUUGACCUUACUGGAGCAGAGCAGAAGCCCGGUAUACCUCAGCCUGUUCACCAGGGAGGCUGUCUGGGGUCUUUGCACGACAAUCAACUAUUCAGAAAUGUCAACUUGAAGACUUCCAAACUCACCAUUUCUAGUUAAUUUUGCAAAUGAAGUGUUGAAGAAGGAAAAUCAAUAUUUAAGGACCUUUAAAUGUUAGUGCAGCUUUUGUUUAAAAUAAAUCACAUCCUGAGCAGUUCUAUAA